UACGUAGGGGGCAAGCGUUGUCCGGAAUUAUUGGGCGUAAAGGGCGUGUAGGCGGUAUCGUAAGUCAGGUGUGAAAGUUUGAGGCUCAACCUCAAAAUUGCACUUGAAACUGCAAUACUUGAGUACUGGAGAGGUAAGUGGAAUUCCUAGUGUAGCGGUGAAAUGCGUAGAUAUUAGGAGGAACACCAGUGGCGAAGGCGACUUACUGGACAGUUACUGACGCUGAGGCGCGAAAGCGUGGGGAGCAAACAGG
rnacentral:rRNA from 1 species